rnacentral:rRNA from 1 species
CCUACGGGCGGCAGCAGUGAGGAAUAUUGGUCAAUGGGCGGGAGCCUGAACCAGCCAAGUCGCGUGAGGGAAGACGGUCCUAUGGAUUGUAAACCUCUUUAGGCGGGGAGCAAUGCCGGGCACGUGUGCCCGGAGGGAGAGUACCCGCAGAAUAAGCAUCGGCUAACUCCGUGCCAGCAGCCGCGGUAAUACGGAGGAUGCGAGUGUUAUCCGGAUUUAUUGGGGUAAAAGGGUGCGUAGGCGGAUUUUUAAGUCAGCGGUAAAAUGUCCGGGCUCAACCCGGGCCGGCCGUUGAAACUGGGGAGCUUGAGUGGGCGAGAAGUAUGCGGAAUGCGUGGUGUAGCGGUGAAAUGCAUAGAUAUCACGCAGAACUCCGAUUGCGAAGGCAGCAUACCGGCGCCCGACUGACGCUGAGGCACGAAAGCGUGGGGAUCGAACAGGAUUAGAUACCCUAGUAGUC